rnacentral:rRNA from 1 species
GAUCAUGGCUCAGGAUGAACGCUGGCGGCGUGCCUAACACAUGCAAGUCGAACGAAGCACUUUGCUUAGAUUCUUCGGAUGAAGAGGAUUGUGACUGAGCGGCGGACGGGUGAGUAACGCGUGGGUAACCUGCCUCAUACAGGGGGGAUAACAGUUAGAAAUGACUGCUAAUACCGCAUAAGACCACAGCACCGCAUGGUGCGGGGGUAAAAACUCCGGUGGUAUGAGAUGGACCCGCG